rnacentral:tRNA from 1 species
GACGCGUCGUCACCGGUGUGGCGCCUGGUCUUCAAAACCAGUGUCAGGCUGAAAGGUCUGAGGUAGGUUCGACUCCUAUGCGUCUC